CAACUCACGUGGAAUGCAGGUCCUUGUAGAUGGCCUCGUCCGAAUGGGAACGCUCCGUGGGCGAAAGCUGUAGAUUGAAGCCACUGAAAUGAAAUUCCGAUUCAGCACAUUGAAAUGAACAUGUAUAUAUUUGCAAACUGGAUGGAAUGAUUUACUUCAUGGAAUUUUGGAAACCAUUCCGUGCAGUUGUGUUUCCACAAUGAGUUUCCCUUUGAACCACCAGUUGCUCGGACUGGCAAUUCGAUUCUGAAUGGGAUGAACAGAAGACCCACUUGUUUGCUAGUCGGAAUGGUUAACUGGGUAUCAAAGUGGUCAAUCGGAUCACUCACAUAAGAU